rnacentral:rRNA from 1 species
UACGUAGGGUCCGAGCCUUGUCCGGAAUUACUGGGCGUAAAGCGCGCGUAGGCGGCUUUGCAAGUCGGGUGUGAAAUCCCCAGGCUUAACCUGGGAACUGCAUUCGAGACUGCAUUGCUAGAGUAUGGGAGAGGGAAGUGGAAUUUCCGGUGUAGCGGUGAAAUGCGUAGAUAUCGGAAGGAACAUCAGUGGCGAAAGCGACUUCCUGGACCAAUACUGACGCUCAUGUGCGAAAGCGUGGGGAGCAAACAGG